ACGAACGCUGGCGGCGUGCCUAAUACAUGCAAGUAGGACGCACAGUUUAUACCGUAGCUUGCUACACCAUAGACUGUGAGUUGCGAACGGGUGAGUAACGCGUAGGUAACCUACCUAUUAGAGGGGGAUAACUAUUGGAAACGAUAGCUAAUACCGCAUAACAGUAUGUAACACAUGUUAGAUGCUUGAAAGAUGCAAUUGCAUCGCUAGUAGAUGGACCUGCGUUGUAUUAGCUAGUAGGUAGGGUAAAGGCCUACCUAGGCAACGAUACAUAGCCGACCUGAGAGGGUGAUCGGCCACACUGGGACUGAGACACGGCCCAGACUCCUACGGGAGGCAGCAGUAGGGAAUCUUCGGCAAUGGGGGGAACCCUGACCGAGCAACGCCGCGUGAGUGAAGAAGGUUUUCGGAUCGUAAAGCUCUGUUGUUAAGGAAGAACGAGUGUGAGAAUGGAAAG
rnacentral:rRNA from 1 species